AACUUUUGGCAAUGGAUCACUUGGUUCUGGCAUCGAUGAAGAACGCAGCGAAAUGCGAUAAGUAAUGCAAAUUGCAGAAUUCCAGUGAGUCAUCGAAUCUUUGAACGCACAUUGCGCCCUUCGGUAUUCCGAAGGGCAUGCCUGUUCGAGCGUCAUUAUCACCCCUCAAGCCCCCGGCUUGGUGUUGGACGGUUUAGCCUUGGGUGACGAGGCCCGUUUUAAAAUCAAUGACGGCGGCCUGUUCGACCCCCGGUACACUGAGCUUCUGAACUGAGCACGUAUCGGUUGAAGGGUAGGCAGGACCCGGUCUUCUUUCUUAACCGGAAACUCUUUUCAAGGUUGACCUCGAAUCAGGUAGGGAUACCCGCUGAAUUUAAGCAUAUCAAUAAGCGGAGGCU
rnacentral:misc_RNA from 1 species